AGAGUUUGAUCAUGGCUCAGAACGUACGCUGGCGGCACGCCUAACACAUGCAAGUCGAACGAAGUAGCAAUACUUAGUGGCAGACGGGUGAGUAACAUGUGGGUAUCUGCCCUUUGGCCUGGAAUAACACGAGGAAACUUGUGCUAAUACCGGAUAAGUCUUUACAGAGAAAGCUUUAUGCACCAUUGGAUGAGCCCGCACUUGAUUAGUUUGUUGGUGGGGUAAUGGCCUACCAAGACUUUGAUCAAUAGCUGAUUUGAGAGGAUGAUCAGCCACAUUGGGACUGAGACACGGCCCAAACUCCUACGGGAGGCAGCAGUGGGGAAUCUUGCACAAUGGAGGAAACUCUGAUGCAGCGAUGCCGCGUGAGUGAAGAAGGCCCUUGGGUUGUAAAGCUCUUUCGUCGGGGAAGAAAAUGACUGUACCCGAAUAAGAAGGUCCGGCUAACUUCGUGCCAGCAGCCGCGGUAAUACGAAGGGACCUAGCGUAGUUCGGAAUUACUGGGCUUAAAGAGUUCGUAGGUGGUUGAAAAAGUUGGUGGUGAAAUCCCAGAGCUUAACUCUGGAACUGCCAUCAAAACUUUUCAGCUAGAGUUUGAUAGAGGAAAGCAGAAUUUCUAGUGUAGAGGUGAAAUUCGUAGAUAUUAGAAAGAAUACCAAUUGCGAAGGCAGCUUUCUGGAUCAUUACUGACACUGAGGAACGAAAGCAUGGGUAGCGAAGAGGAUUAGAUACCCUCGUAGUCCAUGCCGUAAACGAUGUGUGUUAGACGU
rnacentral:rRNA from 1 species